GGCUCGCUGGGGCGGAAGGAACCUGUAGCCGGGGGGCAGUGCAAGAAGUGGGUGUGGGCGCCGAGGGGGGUGGAGGUAUGGACCUGCGCCGGAUUGGGAUUAGUCGGCGGCGGGAUCUGAAGCAGGAAGACGAGAAGCAUGGCCAUCCCCGUGCGUCGAUGCGGCCGGGAGAGAUAGAAGGGGAUAGGGAAGAAGACAGGGAAAAAAGAAAAAAAGUGAGGGCACGGAGGUACGCGAGGCGUGCGAUACAUCUCGAUCGCGUGGCUCGUGCGGGACCAGCCGAAGUAUCGGCCGGCGCACGGUACACAAACACUUCCCUUUGGGAUUUCAGUGAAUCUGCGCUAAGGACAUGUAUAAUGAUGCUAUCUUAGAAGUGUCACGUAAAAUAAAUAAUGAGAUGGAGAAGAGAGAACUCAUAAAAAAAGACUUGUCUUCUCUUAUUUAAGAGAAGACAAAAGACGAUUUCUUAGCACAAUAUGUAUCACCAUGUUUUUAGAAAUAGCUAGUUAUUAAAAAUAAGACUAAAAAAUGAUCGGCAAUUUUUUUAUCAUUUCUAAAUUACAUGACUUAAAAUAAAACUAUCUUAUGAUCUUAUCAACAUAUCCUAAACUAAACCGGAUCCAGCCCGAUCACCGGCCACCUCCACUCGCUUUUGAUUCUCGCCGCCCACCCGUCCCCGCAAAGCAUAAUCAUGCCUUGCCAAACACGCGGCCACGCCAGCGCGGCGAAGCCGUAUCCGGCUAGGAGCCGGUUGGUGCCUGGCCGAGGCCGGCUCCCCCUCCCCAACCGCCUACAAAAGGCGCCCAGGUGCGCCCCCUCCACCCCGCGCUCCGGCCUCCCCCCUCUCUCUCUUUGGAGCCUUCGUUCCUGCCGCGCCUCCGCCCUCGAUCGCCUCCUCGCGUCUCCGCGACUGUUUCCGUCCCCUUGUCCAUCAAAUCUCGAUUCGUUUGGUUUAACGAUCGAUGGUGGAUUCCAGUUUCUCGUGCUCGGUCAGAUCGGUUCCUGGUUCCGCCACCUGCCUGCCUCCGUCGGUGAUUUUGAGAUUUGAAUUGAUUGAUUGAAUUUAACACGAGGUGGAUUCGAGGCCCUCGUGGAUUCUUGCUGUACCGGCUGAUCUAGCUUGCUUUUGGUGCAUGCAUGUGCUCUCAUCCUAGAUGCAGAACCAAGAGGGCGAGCGCUAGUUCCGAAGAGAUGAUAAUAGAUGAAGGGGGUGGAGGUUUGAUUUCUAUUCAUGGUUGUUUUGAUUGAUUGGUUACAGUCCAACGGUUAUUCUGAUAUGGUUAGAUCUUCUCGGAUGAUCAAGCUUUCAAUCUCUUACCAACUAGGCUGGAAUAUCUCCAAUCCCUCCUAUGUACAAUUCUGAUUUGGACAUUUUGCUAGUUGUCCAGAAAGUGGGAUGACAGGGCCUGAUGGGAGCCACUCAUCUUCUUGCUGACCUGGGCGUGUUUGGAUGGUCACUCUCUGUUUAAUUUGUUCUUCUCCACAAUUCAAUUAGUCUCCCAACAACUCUGAUUGUCAUUUGUUGCUGGCUCUCCAGAGCGGGCGGUACUAUUUUGGCUCGGCAUGGCGUUUCUUCCUUCUUAUGGGGUUCAACUUUCUGAACCUUUCUUGUUGAUUAUAAUAACUCAUCUGACAGUAGUUUCCCCUGCCUUAGUCAUUCAGAUAGUGUCUUGCAAGAGAUAUAAUCGGAACUGUGUUGUCUACCUGACCUUCCCAGUCGAGACAGGCUUACUUUAUUUUAUCUUCAACUCAUCGUUUAAUCUAGUUUUCUUCCUAACUGAAACAUUUAUUUAUCGAAAGGUAUCUUGCUCCUUCAGGAACUCAAGGCCACCAACCUGAUGCUGAGUUUGCAGUUCUUCUAAAUCUAUCUUCUCCUUAACUUAGAAAAUAUAAUACGAAGAUUUCUUACUAGGCAAUAUUUCGAAUUCAGAUUUAGCUGCAAAGGUGCAAGAAUGAAGCUUCGAACAAGUGGCACAUCGUACAACCGGAAAAAACUUAACCUCUUAUCCUCUUAUUUUUAUUUAAUUCAGCUACAUGUUCAUAUCUUUGAUUUUGGUUUUUUGCUUCUGCCUUCCAUGUCGUUGCAGAUUUGUUUUGGCCCAAAACAAUGCUGGUAGUGAGUCUGAACCUGUAAAAAUCGUCUGGUUUGCCAUCUAUCUCUUUGUCUGGAUCCCUGCGUUGGUCUUCCUGCCCAUUGCUAUCUGAUAUAUUUAUAGGAAGUUUGGUUCUACAUGCAAACUUGUGCUUUGUAUACGUGUCACGGUGUCAGGUCAGUGUCUUGACUGUUGGUUCAUUUGUGUUGGCUUCCAUGGGUUGGUUGCAGGACUGGAUCUGGUAUGUGGAGAUCCUUGGGGUGUUUUAUGUCUAAGAGAUUUGAGGCAGGUCAGAUUUGAAUGGUUAUCGCUCGUGUGGUCUUCUGGUUCUCAUCACGAGUUCCAACAUCAUCAGCUAAUAUGAGGUGGAUCCAAGGUCCUGGAGGAUUCUUAUUGUAGCAGCUCAUCUCGCUUUUGGUGUGUGUUUGUGCUCCUUUAGAUGCAGCAGAAGCAAGAGUGUGCAGAGAUGAGUCAAAGGGUGGAGGUUUGGUUUCCUUUAGAUGAACAAAUGGUCAGAUCUUCCCGGAGGACAAUGUUUUGGUGUUCAACUGAAGUUUUGGAUCGCUCAUCAACCUAGAACUUGUGAUCCGUGUUUGGAUGAUCAAAUUCUCGAUUCCUCUGACUUUUAACUUAUUCAUUUUCAAAGUACAAUAAUUUACUCUCCAGAGGUUCUGAUUUGGAUUAUUAUUUGUGGAUCUCCAGAAAUUUGGAUUUGGCUUAGCAUCGGGGGUGACUUGUCGUCUUCUUUCUGAUUUGCUUUGGAUGAAUCAUUACUUCCUCCAUUUCAUUCAUUUCUCUCCACAGCUCACCUUCUGUCUACGACAAUUCUGAUUUGCAUUUGUUGGUUCUUCAGAAUUUAGGGUUAUACGGCUUAGAGGGAGCACCUAUCAUCUUGGUGAUCUGCGUUGGAUGAUUAUUACCUUCUUAGUUUAAUUUUUUCUUCUCCAGAGUUCAAUUAGUCUCCCAACAAUUCUGAUUGUGAUCUGUUGAUGGUUGUCCAGAAAUUGGAAUUACAGGGCCUAGCGGGUGGAGAGCGGCGUUGCAGAGGCCGAGUGUCAGGUAGCUCGGUAUCCCCUUCGUGGGAAAGGACUUCGCGAUUCCUUCUUGUCAGGCGUUUCCGAGUAAUUCUCCGGCGCCCUCCCACCCUGACAAGUCAAACCAUCAUCAAUUUUCUCAACAGUGGCGACCUGCGAAAAGGAGUGAUGGCCCAUCUAAUAACUUGUACCUGUCCCUUCAACUGUUGGCGAACAGUGGAAUACGGUGAUAUACGGAUUGCUGGAAAUUGCAAUACGACUGACAACACAUAUCCCAAUGCUAGUUGGGUGGGGUGGAUUCCGUGCUGCCUGCAGACCGGCCUCUGCAACGUUUUUUCGCUAGCGGGUGGUCCUAUUUUGCCUCGGCAUGGCGGUUCUUUUUCUGUUCGUCGACUUUCCUGACCUUUCUUAUUCAAUAUAAUUGAACUCUCCAGACAUUUGUAUUUUCUCUGCUCUUAGUCGGUAAUUCUCAGUUCUUGCAGAUACUGGCUUCGAUAAUUGCAGUUUGGAACCGGUGUGGUAACCCGUCAUCCCUACCCCCAACCGAGACAUGCUUAGUUAAUCUUUACAUCCUCAUUGUUUGAUGCAUGCUUUAGCUGAGCCGAGUUUUUCCUAACUUGUAGAAAGGUAUCUUCCUCGGUGCAGGUCAUAGUUGAUGAAUUCAAGUCCAAUCUGGUGCUGGGCUGCAGUUCUUCUAAAUCUACCAUUUUUUUAACUCAUCAUAAGUUAGAUAACCUUUAAAGUUAUCUCCCUUUGUUUUAGUCUCUCCACCGUUUUGUUUUGGUGCCCCAAAAUUCUGAUUUAAACUACUUCUUCGUGGCUUACAGAAAUUGGAAUAAUAUGGCUUAGAAGGCGGUCCUAUUUUUCCUCAACAUGGCGGUUCCUUCUGUGGCUCAAAACUUUUUCAACCUUCCUUACUUAAAUCUCAUGGCAUUAGGUUUUCUCUGCCUUAGUGGGUAAUUCUCAGCUCUUGCAGAUAUUGACUUGGAAAGGAUAUCCUGCAGUUUGGAACUGGUGUUGUUAUCGUCCGUCAACCAUAGCUGAACUUCCUAUCUGAAACAGGCUUACUUGUUCCCACCCAUCAUUUGAUCCAUACUUUAGCUAUUUAUAAGUAACAUUUUCCCCUAACUGAAAAUUUAUAGAAAGGUCUCUUGCUCGUUACAGGUUGUAGUUGACGAACUCAAGCCCAACCUGAUGAUGAAUCUGUUUGCAGAUCUUCUAAAUCUAGUAUUGUUUCAAUUCAUUGUUACUUACAUGACCUACACAUUAUUUUACUAGGCAAUAUUUUGUAAUACAGAUUCAUAUGCAGAGGUGCAUGAAUCUAAGGAUAAUCCGAAGCUUUCGACUAAUGGCACAUCCUACAACCGAAAAAGACUCUUGCCAUCCCUUUUUUUAAAUUUCAUUUAGCUACUUGGCCAUGUCUUUGAUAUAGGUUUUUGCUCCUGCCCUUCCUGUGCUUGCAGAUUUUUCUUUAGCCCAGGCCAUGUGGGUAAUGACGUGGAAUCUGUUAAAUAUUUUGGUUUGCGAUCUAGCGCUCCGUUGUUCGAUUUGUUAUCUUAACUCUUGAUCCUUGUGUUCUAUUGGUCUUCUGCAAGUGCGGGUUGCAGGAUAUAAUAGUUAGGAGUUUGUACCCAAACCUUUGCUUUGUACAUGGAGUCAGUUCAGUGUCUUGUAGAUGGUCUGUUUCAUUUGCUAUCGCCGCCUCCAUGAGUUGGCUUGCAGGACUGGAUCUGGAUCUGGAUCUGAAUCUGGUCUGGACAUGUAGCUCCCUAUGGUGUAUAACAGUAUGGUGAAGGGGUUUUGAGGCAGGUCAGUUUCCCAUGUUUGGUCACAUUGGUUUACUGGAUCCCUCAUCUGUGCUCGGCGACGAAAGAUUUGAGUGGCUACCUUAAGUUCUUCGAUUUGUCUUCGUCUAAUGGCUCAUCAGUAUCGUUGUCCCUAGAUAUGAGGUGGAUUCUCGUUGGUUCUCGUUGUAACAGCUGAUCUUGCUUGUGGUAUGUGUUUGUGCUCCUUGAGAUACAGGAUGUUGUGGAGUGAUGAAUCAAAGGAUCAAGGUUUGCUUUACUGUCCGUGGUUAUUUUGAUUGGCUCAAUGGAUGGUUAUAAGCUAGGAUCUUGUGUGCUGAAGUUUUCGUUUUGGAUUGAAGCUGUGGAUUGGAUAGUUAACCAUGGGAUGGGGAUCAGAGAAUUUUCAAACAGUGUUUAUAAUCGAUCCUCCUCGAUUUAGUGUCUUUGUUUUGCACAGUCAAAUUUAGCUUACAACAUCUCCGAUAUGGAUUGUUCUCCAGCUAUUGGACUUAUGGGGACUUUCUGGAAGGUGCCCUGUUUUGUUUCACCAUGUUAUAGACGGUUUCUUCUGUUGACUUCAAUCUUUCCUGAUUUGCUUUGAACAUUGUACUCCUAUGGUUUUCUCUGCCCUUGGUAACGUGUCCUUGCAGAUAUUGACAUGGAUGAGAGAAUUUAGUUUGCUAUCUGGAACUGGUGUUGUUGCCUAACUGAUAUUGACAUGGUUAUAAUGCAUUAUUUAGCUGUUUCAAGUAGCUUUGUCUCCCCACAGCGAAAAUUCAUGGGAAGGUCUCUUGGUCGUUGCAGGUCCUAAUUGACUAUUUAGGUCCAACCUGAUGUGGAGUUAUCUGUUUGAAGAUCUUCUAAACCCUACAACUUUCCAAUUCAUGAACAUUCAGAUUGAUUUGGUGGAUGUAUAAGAUUUGAAGGUUGCUCCGGGGCUUCAGUCUAGAUUGGACAUCCUACAACCGAAAAAAUUCAGUGCUCUCAACAACCAAAAAAUUAUCUUAUGCUGAGUUAUCUCCUGAAGAAACUUCUGUUGUCUUGGUUGCCUUUCGCUUGUAGGAUUGAUUGUGGUUUUUCCUCCUGCUUUCCUGUGGUUGCAGAUCAAGCCAUGCUGGUAGCGAUUCAAAAUAUGUUACCUUUUUGGUUUCUGAUCCUCUCUGUGGUUUACUUUGUUAUAUCUGUACUCCCCAUCCAUGUGAUUCUGUUGGCCUGGUGGGCUUGUUCUUUGCAGUAUAUGUUGGAAUUGUUGUGUGUUCCCUGUAGAGUCAUCUCAGUGUCUGGUCUGCUCUCAAUGCAAUAAUUAGCUUUGUUCCUCCUCCAAUCUCCAAUGGCUAAUCAACGAUUCUGUCUAUCACGUAAUACAAGGUGAAUUUUAUCUCGUUUAUGUAUGCACCUUUGUUGGAGAUCGUAUUGAAGGGUAGAGAGUGAUUCAUGGUUGUUCUUUAGCUCUUCGGAUGAUAUCUUAAGUUUGAGAUAAGAAUUGUUGGUCAUGCCUGCAUGGUUGAGGAUUCAUAAGUGUCAUGAGGCGUGACUGGACUGUUCGGAUAUACUCUCCUCCUAUUUGAUUUCUCCAUGUGAACAGUUUGGUCUCUGUUCUGAGUAUUAUUUGGAUUUUUGGUUGUUCUCCAGCAUUUGAAUGGUGCAGAACUCUAGGAGAUUCUUCAUGAUUCGAUCUUGUCAAACUUCUCUCUGAGUGACAGCUUUCAGUUUGAACUUGCAUUCAGUGGUAGUUUGGAGUUAGUAGUGUGCACAUCUGAUUUUUUUCAACCAUCCUGAAGGAUCUUACUUGGUUUCUGCUUCAACUUGCAUGUGGUUUGGACGGAUCGCAUGUUUUGCUCCGAAUCAACAAAAUACUAGAAGUAAAACAAUGGUUCUAGGAAGUUUAAUAUUAAUGAUGUCCUAGGAAGUUCCUUUAUUAGUCUCAAACAUCAGUUCAUACUCAAAGUUUCUAUAGCAGAUUAUCAAAUUUUGAUUUGGCUGUAUUAUUACUUGGUUGUCAUACUGUUUCCAGAAGUUGGGUUUUAAUAUUAGGUUGCUUGUAUCUAUAAUUUUAUCUCUAGUAUCUUUAGCUUGCAAAUUUAUCACCUAAUACAUGUACAUGAGCUCUGACUGCAGUAAAAGAUUUGUCGGUCUACUGUUCUACAUAUUCUUGUCCACACUUGGUUUGUUUAUUUAACUAUUUUCCUGGUGAAUUCUUUAUGAUCAUCUUAUGACAGACAAAGAAUUUUUGGUGUGCACAGAUUUUUAACUUCGGUGAUAAAGAAGAUCCCACCUAGUUUGCGGCUCUCGCACUUUAGUUGGUUUAACAGUAGUGGCCUCCUGACUUGUAGUUAGGUAAUGUUGAUGACUUGAUAUGCAGAAAGAGGCUAAGGAAUUAUUGCCAUAUACUAAAACAAUGGAGAGUUGAAGGUUCUGAACUGGAAGCUUGAAACUCUACUCCUGAUGUCAUCUCAACUAAUUAUGAUUCCGGUUUGGUGGUAUGGAAUUGAUUUUCAGAAAAUGAUGUUCUUCUCAUUGGUGCUUCUCCAGUGAGACCUGCAUUACAUAUCUUCCACUAUGCAUCUUCUCGGUUUGCUAGGGAACUUCCUAGUUGUAGUUUGACAACUAGCAAAACAGUCCUGCCAAUUUGAUGAUUCCUCCUGAUUGUGUACUUUCAACUCAAGUAGCUCAUAUUCCUGGAUUAAAGAGAAAAAGCGUUCACACAUCUUACCGUCUUCUAAUGGCUAAUUUGAUCUGGUUUAUGGGAUCUUCAACUACAUAUUCUCAAAUCUUUAAUUACAUAAUCUCGGUUUUCUGGGAACUCCCUAAUUUCAAUUUGCUUGGCAACUAGCAAAAAUACUAAUUUGACGAUUCCUGUGAAUUGCAUACUCUUAACUCCAGCUAUACAUAUGCCACACAUUAUAUUUCAUAGUCAAUACAUUAUCCUGGAUUUUUAAGAUACAAAAGUAUCUCCUCUGACCCUAUAAUGGGAUAAAACUGCAAAAGAUAAUCAUCCUCUAGAUGUUGGUAUAUAUUCUUAUUGUCAAGAUUAAAGGUUUGGAUCACCCACUACCACUAUAUAAAUUAAUUACUCUCAUUCAGGUCCUGUAAUUUACAGCUUUGUUUGUUUGUGCCCCUAUGUCUGUCUUAUGAUCUUGUGCAGAUAUUUAUUGCCUAUGCAUAGCUGAAAUAAUUGGUUAUAGUGUUUGCUAAUUUUUGUGUUCUGUAGUUUUGUAGUUUAACACUGCCUUUGCGGGUCCCAAGCCCGGAUGAGAAAAUGUGGAGGGAACUCUGAACUUGCAUGGCCUCCAAAUAUUUGAAAUUGAGUAACAGUGAAUGAAGUGAGUAGAAAUUACAGUACUUACUGGCCUAAUCGAAUAGUGAAUGGUCGUCACAAUGGUCGCUCUCGGAUCCGUCGUCGGGGCUGCGCGGGGGCCCAGCGGCGCUUGGAUCCGUCGUCGGGCGGCAAACCGGACGCGCCGCGCGGUGUGCAUCGCCGCCGGGUCUGGCGCCACAACGCGCUCCGUGCGCGGGAAGGGGAUCCGACCCUCGAACCUGUCCUCGAUAGAUUCACGGGGACGAAGAAGUAGCCGGAGUGCAGAAACGACGAACCAGAGCUGUGUGGCGGCAGCAUUGGCGUCGUCAACGGAGACCCCGGCUGUGUGAGACGCAUACGGUGGGCCGGUGGCCCCCCUGCUUCUUCUUUUUUUUGUUAUUAUAGGUCAGGUCAAGUUGUUUUGCCCCAUCAGCACUUACAGCAGGCCCCAUCUGUCAGAUAUAUGGUGUUAACACGCGUCUUCUCUGUUCGAAGUGUUGACGGCAAGAGGAAUCGGAACCAGUGGCUAAAAUGGAUUGCUUUCA